rnacentral:lncRNA from 1 species
UUGUAGUACACUACGUAGAUAAUAGGAUGCCAUUUUAAGACACAGACCCUAGAGACAUCCUGGCUAUCAGAGGACACCCACUCAUGAUGCAUCAUGAACAGUAGCUGUGAAGUGAUACACAUUGCUACAGUGUGGUUUUUACRAUGUUUAUGAGCUUACUGGUACUAAAUAUACUGUAUUUCAAACAUAGAAGUGGAUUAAUUGGUUAAUAGGCCUAUGUGGAUCUGGUGAUUUGUUGUCUGUCAGGGUGGGUGUGGCUUCCCAUGGCACCACAUUAUAUCACAAUUGUGAUGUCAUAAAUGAUUGAAUUCUGAUAUGAUGACAGCCUAAAAGGUUUGCCAUAGCAUUACUGUCAUAUUACAGCAACACUUACAAGUUCAAUUCAGAGUCAAAAUCAUUGCUAUAUUUUGGAUGGUUAUUUUGGUGGUAAGUAGUUGUGACCACUUGUGAUUUAGUGUGAAAAGGCCUACUUUGUGYCACAAUUUAAUUUAGAUGAUGUAAAUGAUAUCAUAUUUUUAAGACAUAUUGUAUCUUUUUCAGGAUUACUGUAAUUGAAGGAACUAUGGGAAAGUUCUCCUUUCCAAGGCUCAUCAUAAGAAUGGUUAGAAUAUCUUUUCUCUCACCACCCCCAUAGUCAAAACUCCAAAACUCUUAAAAUCAUCACUUUGACAUAUAGGCCUAUGAGCUUUUCUAAGAUUGAAAAUAACAAGCUUGUAUCAUGAUAACCUCAUUUCUGACUGCAUGUUUGUCAUCAUUUUCAUUUCUAGCCAUGGGCAAAACGGACUGCACAGGAUGAUUUCUGCACAGGAACUACUGAACUCCACAGGCCCAGAACACACCAGCCUCACAACUCCUCACAACUCCCCAGCCUUAAUGUGUGUAGGCAGGACAAGGAGAACACCGAUUCUAUCCAGAAGAAGAGGAAAAAGAAGAGGCUAAAUGAGAAGGGAACCCAGGUUGAACUAGGCAUGCGGGAGGAUAUCCAUGACCUUGACCUCGCCCAUUGGAGAUUGGCUAGAGAGACAUGGAGAACUGAGCGAGGAAACAUGAGGGAGAUUAAGGCGCUGUAUGGAGAAAUAUUUAGGCUGCACCAACUCUUGGCGGAGGUAACAAGAGCAGUUUUCUUUAAUCAGUCUUUCAUAUCAGUAGAUAUACUGCAGUUGCUUUAGAUGUUCCCAAUCCUGAUACACAGAAAUUAGAUCUAAAUAGAUAGAAUAGUGAAAUAAGAAGACAAGAAAAAUAACUGCUCACUGGAAGUAUUCUCAGGAAGGUCUGAAUCUGCAUUCUUAGAAUAAAGUUGUAAAGGAAUGGAAGAAUUCUGAAUUGGAAUGAUUCCAAAAGUGUGGACCUUCCCAUUUUCCUAAUAGGCAUAUACAGUAAUAAAACGUGUUUUCUCUAUGAAUAUUAUACCCAUACACAUUUAAUGGUUGUAGAUAGUAAUAAACAAUAACCAUCAAGCUAUAA